rnacentral:rRNA from 1 species
UACGAAAGGGGCUAGCGUUGUUCGGAAUUACUGGGCGUAAAGCGCACGUAGGCGGCAUUGUAAGUUGGGGGUGAAAUCCCGAGGCUCAACCUCGGAACUGCCUCCAAAACUGCAAAGCUAGAGGAUGUGAGAGGAUAGUGGAAUUCCGAGUGUAGAGGUGAAAUUCGUAGAUAUUCGGAAGAACACCAGUGGCGAAGGCGACUGUCUGGCACAUUUCUGACGCUGAGGUGCGAAAGCGUGGGGAGCAAACAGG